AUUGAACGCUGGCGGCAGGCCUAACACAUGCAAGUCGAGCGAGCGGCGGACGGGUGAGUAAUGUAUGGGGAUUUGCUCGAUAGAGGGGGAUAACUACUGGAAACGGUGGCUAAUACCGCAUACUAUCGGUUGAACCCAUAUGGGCUUAGCUAGUAGGGGGGGUAAAGGCUCACUCAGGCGACGAUCCCCUGCUGGUCUGAGAGGAUGAUCAGCCACACUGGGACUGAGACACGGCCCAGACUCCUACGGGAGGCAGCAGUGGGGAAUAUUGCACAAUGGGCGCAAGCCUGAUGCAGCCAUGCCGCGGAUAUGAAGAAGGCCUUCGGGUGGUAAAGUACUUUCAGCGGGGAGGCGUUACCCGCAGAAGAAGCGCCGGCUAACUCCGUGCCAGCAGCCGCGGUAAUUC
rnacentral:rRNA from 1 species